rnacentral:rRNA from 1 species
CGCCCUUAGAGUUUGAUCCUGGCUCAGAUUGAACGCUGGCGGCAUGCCUUACACAUGCAAGUCGAACGGUAACAGGUCUUCGGAUGCUGACGAGCGGCGAACGGGUGAGUAAUACAUCGGAACGUGCCCGAGAGUGGGGGAUAACGGAGCGAAAGCUUUGCUAAUACCGCAUACGAUCUACGGAUGAAAGCAGGGGACCGCAAGGCCUUGCGCUCAUGGAGCGGCCGAUGGCAGAUUAGGUAGUUGGUGGGAUAAAAGCUUACCAAGCCGACGAUCUGUAGCUGGUCUGAGAGGACGACCAGCCACACUGGGACUGAGACACGGCCCAGACUCCUACGGGAGGCAGCAGUGGGGAAUUUUGGACAAUGGGCGAAAGCCUGAUCCAGCCAUGCCGCGUGCAGGAUGAAGGCCUUCGGGUUGUAAACUGCUUUUGUACGGAACGAAAAGACUCCUUCUAAUAAAGGGGGUCCAUGACGGUACCGUAAGAAUAAGCACCGGCUAACUACGUGCCAGCAGCCGCGGUAAUACGUAGGGUGCAAGCGUUAAUCGGAAUUACUGGGCGUAAAGCGUGCGCAGGCGGUUAUGUAAGACAGGUGUGAAAUCCCCGGGCUUAACCUGGGAACUGCAUUUGUGACUGCAUCGCUGGAGUGCGGCAGAGGGGGGAUGGAAUUCCGCGUGUAGCAGUGAAAUGCGUAGAUAUGCGGAGGAACACCGAUGGCGAAGGCAAUCCCCUGGGCCUGCACUGACGCUCAUGCACGAAAGCGUGGGGAGCAAACAGAUAGAUACCCUGGUAGUCCACGCCCUAA